rnacentral:rRNA from 1 species
AUUGAACGCUGGCGGCAUGCCUUACACAUGCAAGUCGAACGGCAGCACGGGGGCAACCCUGGUGGCGAGUGGCGAACGGGUGAGUAAUGCAUCGGAACGUGCCCAGUAGUGGGGGAUAACCAGUCGAAAGACUGGCUAAUACCGCAUACGACCCAAGGGUGAAAGCGGGGGACCGUAAGGCCUCGCGCUAUUGGAGCGGCCGAUGUCUGAUUAGCUAGUUGGCGGGGUAAGAGCCCACCAAGGCGACGAUCAGUAGCUGGUCUGAGAGGACGACGAGCCUCACUGGGACGGGGACACGGCCCAGACGCCUACGGGAGGCAGAAGUGAGGAAUUUUGGAAAAUGGGCGCAAGCCUGAUCCAGCCAUGCCGCGGGCGGGAAGAAGGCCUUCGGGUUGUAAACCGCUUUUGGCAGGAACGAAACGGCGCAAGCCAAUACCUUGCGCUAAUGACGGUACCUGCAGAAUAAGCACCGGCUAACUACGUGCCAGCCGCCGCCGUAACAC